AGUGAACGCUGGCGGUAGGCCUAACACAUGCAAGUCGAACGGCAGCACAGGAGAGCUUGCUCUCUGGGUGGCGAGUGGCGGACGGGUGAGGAAUACAUCGGAAUCUACUCUGUCGUGGGGGAUAACGUAGGGAAACUUACGCUAAUACCGCAUACGACCUACGGGUGAAAGCAGGGGACCUUCGGGCCUUGCGCGAUUGAAUGAGCCGAUGUCGGAUUAGCUAGUUGGCGGGGUAAAGGCCCACCAAGGCGACGAUCCGUAGCUGGUAUGAGAGGAUGAUCAGCAACCCUGGAACUGGGACACGGUCCAGACUCAUACGGGAGGCAGCAGUGGGGAAUAUUGGACAAUGGGCGCAAGCCUGAGCUAGCCAUACCGCGUGGGUGAAGAAGGCCUUCGGGUUGUAAAGCCCUUUUGUUGGGAAAGAAAUCCAGCUGGCUAAUACCCGGUUGGGAUGACGGUACCCAAAGAAUAAGCACCGGCUAACUUCGUGCCAGCCGCCGCCGUAA
rnacentral:rRNA from 1 species